CUCGGUUCCAUCUCCACCUGCCAUCUGUGGGUCUUCCCAGGACCGUUCCAUAAGGUUGCUCACCUCUGGGGCUGGUUGGACAGAAGAGGGUAGGGUGUCCAGGUAAUCCUCUGGACUGAGGGACGGUGAUUGGGCUAAGUUGAACAGGCGUCGGUAGCUCUGCUCCAGCCCCCACUCCAUUGCGACCAGAUGACUCAGGUCUGGCCCCAGGUCGUCCGCUCGGGGAAGAUCCAGCAGGGUUUCCCUGAUGUUGUGGAUGUCCCAGAACUGAAACUCUGUGGGGCAUCCAAAGUCAUCGCCCUCCUCAUAGGCCUCCCACAGUAAGCCUGGGCCAUUAUAAUC